rnacentral:rRNA from 1 species
GAAUUUUGGGCAAUGGGCGAAAGCCUGACCCAGCAACGCCGCGUGAAGGACGAAAUCCCUCCGGGAUGUAAACUUCGAAAGUCAGGAAAGAAAUCCUCGGGGCGAAUACCCUCGGGGGAUGACGGUACCUGACGUAAGCCCCGGCUAACUACGUGCCAGCAGCCGCGGUAAUACGUAGGGGGCAAGCGUUGUUCGGAAUUACUGGGCGUAAAGGGCGCGUAGGCGGCACAGCAAGUCGGGAGUGAAAGCCCGGGGCUCAACCCCGGAAUGGCUUUCGAAACUGCUGAGCUAGAGUGCGGAAGGGGCAACCGGAAUUCCCAGUGUAGCGGUGAAAUGCGUAGAUAUUGGGAAGAACACCUGAGGCGAAGGCGGGUUGCUGGGCCGACACUGACGCUGAGGCGCGAAAGCCAGGGGAGCAAACGG